rnacentral:rRNA from 1 species
UACGGAGGGGGGCUAGCGUUGUUCGGAAUUACUGGGCGUAAAGCGCACGUAGGCGGCUUUGUAAGUUAGAGGUGAAAGCCCGGAGCUCAACUUCGGAAUUGCCUUUAAGACUGCAUCGCUUGAAUCAUGGAGAGGUCAGUGGAAUUCCGAGUGUAGAGGUGAAAUUCGUAGAUAUUCGGAAGAACACCAGUGGCGAAGGCGACUGACUGGACAUGUAUUGACGCUGAGGUGCGAAAGCGUGGGGAGCAAACAGG